rnacentral:rRNA from 1 species
CCUACGGGAGGCAGCAGUGGGGAAUAUUGGACAAUGGGCGAAAGCCUGAUCCAGCCAUGCCGCGUGUGUGAAGAAGGCCUUCGGGUUGUAAAGCACUUUCAGUGGGGAAGAAAGCCUUGGGGCUAAUACCCUCGAGGAAGGACAUCACCCACAGAAGAAGCACCGGCUAACUCCGUGCCAGCAGCCGCGGUAAUACGGAGGGUGCGAGCGUUAAUCGGAAUUACUGGGCGGAAAGCGCGCGUAGGCGGUCUGAUAAGCCGGUUGUGAAAGCCCCGGGCUCAACCUGGGAACGGCAUCCGGAACUGUCAGGCUAGAGUGCAGGAGAGGAAGGUAGAAUUCCCGGUGUAGCGGUGAAAUGCGUAGAGAUCGGGAGGAAUACCAGUGGCGAAGGCGGCCUUCUGGACUGACACUGACGCUGAGGUGCGAAAGCGUGGGUAGCAAACAGGAUUAGAUACCCUUGUAGUC